rnacentral:rRNA from 1 species
AACGCGAAGAACCUUACCAAGUCUUGACAUCCCCCUGACCGGAACUUAACCGUUCCUUUCCUUCGGGACAGGGGAGACAGGUGGUGCAUGGUUGUCGUCAGCUCGUGUCGUGAGAUGUUGGGUUAAGUCCCGCAACGAGCGCAACCCUUAUCCUUAGUAGCCAGCAAGUAGAGUUGGGCACUCUAGGGAGACUGCCAGGGAUAACCUGGAGGAAGGUGGGGAUGACGUCAAAUCAUCAUGCCCCUUAUGACUUGGGCUACACACGUGCUACAAUGGCGUAAACAAAGAGAAGCAAGACCGCGAGGUGGAGCAAAUCUCAAAAAUAACGUCUCAGUUCGGAUUGCAGGCUGCAACUCGCCUGCAUGAAGCUGGAAUCGCUAGUAAUCGCGAAUCAGAAUGUCGCGGUGAAUACGUUCCCGGGUCUUGUACACACCGG